CCUACGGGUAGCAGCAGUGGGGAAUAUUGCUCAAUGGUGGAAACCCUGAAGCAGCAACGCCGCGUGGAGGAUGAAGGUUUUCGGAUUGAAAACUCCUUUUGGUAGAGAAGAUAAUGACGGUAUCUAACAAAUAAUCACCUGCUAAUUCAGUGCCAGCAGCCGCGGUAAUACGUAGUGGGCAAGCGUUACUCGGAAUCACUGGGCGUAACGAGCGCGUAGGCGGGAUAGCAAGUCAGAUGUGAAAUCCUAUGGCGUAACCAUAGAACUGACUUUGAAACUGUUAUUCUAGAGUAUGUGAGAGGUAGGUGGAAUUCUUGGUGUAGGGGUAAAAUCCGUAGAGAUCACGAGGAAUACUCAUUGCGAAGGCGACCUGCUAGAACAUAACUGACGCUGAUGCGCGAAAGCGUGGGGAGCAAACAGGAUUAGAUACCCUUGUAGUC
rnacentral:rRNA from 1 species